UACGUAGGGUGCAAGCGUUGUCCGGAAUUAUUGGGCGUAAAGAGCUCGUAGGCGGUUUGUCGCGUCUGCUGUGAAAACUCGGGGCUUAACCCCGGAUCUGCGGUGGGUACGGGCAGACUAGAGUGAUGUAGGGGAGACUGGAAUUCCUGGUGUAGCGGUGAAAUGCGCAGAUAUCAGGAGGAACACCGAUGGCGAAGGCAGGUCUCUGGGCAUUAACUGACGCUGAGGAGCGAAAGCAUGGGGAGCGAACAGG
rnacentral:rRNA from 1 species